UACGAAGGGGGGCUAGCGUUGCUCGGAAUCACUGGGCGUAAAGGGUGCGUAGGCGGGUCUUUUAAGUCAGGGGGUGAAAUCCUGGAGCUCAACUCCAGAACUGCCUUUGAUACUGAGGAUCUUGAGUUCGGGAGAGGUGAGUGGAAUUCCGAGUGUAGAGGUGAAAUUCGUAGAUAUUCGGAAGAACACCAGUGGCGAAGGCGACUCACUGGACAUGUAUUGACGCUGAGGUGCGAAAGCGUGGGGAGCAAACAGG
rnacentral:rRNA from 1 species